rnacentral:rRNA from 1 species
GACGAACGCUGGCGGCGUGCCUAAUACAUGCAAGUCGAGCGAAGUUUUUCUGGUGCUUGCACUAGAAAAACUUAGCGGCGAACGGGUGAGUAACACGUAAAGAACCUGCCUCAUAGACUGGGACAACUAUUGGAAACGAUAGCUAAUACCGGAUAACAGUAUUUCUCGCAUGAGAGAUAUUUAAAAGUUGGUUAUGCUAACACUACGAGAUGGCUUUGCGGUGCAUUAGCUAGUUGGUGGGGUAAAGGCCCACCAAGGCGACGAUGCAUAGCCGACCUGAGAGGGUGAUCGGCCACACUGGGACUGAGACACGGCCCAGACUCCUACGGGAGGCAGCAGUAGGGAAUCUUCCGCAAUGGGCGAAAGCCUGACGGAGCAACGCCGCGUGAGUGAAGAAGGAUUUCGGUUCGUAAAGCUCUGUUGUUAGGGAAGAAUGGAUACGUAGUAACUAUACAUGUAAGAGACGGUACCUAACCAGAAAGCCACGGCUAACUACGUG